GACGAACGCUGGCGGCGCGCCUAACACGUGCAAGUCGAACGGAGCUACGAGAAGCUUGCUUUUCUUAGCUUAGCGGCGAACGGGUGAGUAACGCGUGAAUAACCUGCCCUGGAGUGGGGGACAACAGCGGGAAACGACUGCUAAUACCGCAUAAGCCCACGAACCGGCAUAGGCAUGAGGGAAAAGGAUUUAUUCGCUUUAGUAUGGACUGGCAGCCACUUAGUUAGUUGGUGGGGUAACGGCCCACCAAGGCGAGGAUAGGUACCCGGACAGUGAGGUUGGGCCGCGACAUUGGGAGUAGGACACAGCCGAGACUCCUGCGGGAGGCGGCAAAGGGUGAUAUAGCACAAUGGGGUGAGUCCUGAAGCAGCGCCGCCGCGUAGACGAAGAAGUUUUGCGAGAUGUAAACUCCUGUUGUUAGGGACGAUAAUGACGGUACCUAACAAGAAAGCACCGGCUAACUACGUG
rnacentral:rRNA from 1 species